UGUGCUUGCACAUCGCUGACGAGUGGCGGACGGGUGAGUAAUGCUUGGGAACUUGCCUUUGCGAGGGGGAUAACAGUUGGAAACGGCUGCUAAUACCGCAUAAUGUCUUCGGACCAAACGGGGCUUCUGCUCCGGCGCAAAGAGAGGCCCAAGUGAUAUUAGCUAGUUGGUAAGGUAACGGCUUACCAAGGCGACGAUCUCUAUCUGUUCUGAGAGGAAUAUCAGCCACACUGGGACUGACACACGGCCCACACUCCUACGGGAGGCAGCAGUGGGGAAUAUUGCACAGUGGGGGAAACCCUGAUGCAGCCAUGCCGCGUGUGUGAAGAAGGCCUUCGGGUUGGAAAGCACUUUCAGUUGUGAGGAAAAGUUAGUAGUUAAUACCUGCUAGCCGUGACGUUAACAACAAAAGAAGCACCGGCUAACUCCGUGCAGCAGCCGCGGUAAUACGGAGGGUGCGAGCGUUAAUCGGAAUUACUGGGCGUAAAGCGCACGCA
rnacentral:rRNA from 1 species